CUACGGGGGGCUCCAGUGGGGAAUAUUGGACAAUGGGGGCAACCCUGAUCCAGCGAUGCCGUGUGUGUGAAGAAGGCCUGCGGGUUGUAAAGCACUUUAGUUGGGGAGGAAGGUUGUUAGUUUAAGAGAUAAACGACUUGACGUUACCCAAAGAAUAAGCACCGGCAAACUCUGUGCCAGCAGCCGCGGUAAUACAGAGGGUGCAAGCGUUAAUCGGAAUAACUGGGCGUAAAGGGCGCGUAGGCGGGUAUAUAAGUUAGAUGUGAAAGGCCUGGGCUUAACCUAGGUUGGUCAUUUAAUACUGGAUAUCUAGAGUGAAGUAGAGGGCAGUAGAAUUCCCGGAGUAGCGGUGAAAUGCGUAGAUAUCGGGAGGAAUACCGGUGGCGAAGGCGACUGUCUGGACUUCAACUGACGCUGAGGCGCGAAAGCGUGGGGAGCAAACAGGAUUAGAUACCCUUGUAGUC
rnacentral:rRNA from 1 species